rnacentral:rRNA from 1 species
CUACGGGAGGCACCAGUGAGGAAUUUUGCGCAAUGGGGGGAACCCUGACGCAGCAACACCGCGUGAGUGAUGAAGGCUUUCGGGUCGUAAAGCUCUGUCAAGUGGGAAGAACCUAUGCAGUGUUAAUAUCACUGUAUACUGACGGUACCACUGAAGGAAGCACCGGCUAACUCCGUGCCAGCAGCCGCGGUAAUACGGGGGGUGCAAGCGUUAUUCGGAAUCAUUGGGCGUAAAGGGCACGUAGGCGGCUUGGUAAGUCAGAUGUGAAAGCCCGGGGCUUAACCCCGGAAGUGCAUUUGAUACUGUCAGGCUUGAGUAUGGGAGAGGGAAGUGGAAUUCCUGGUGUAGAGGUGAAAUUCGUAGAUAUCAGGAGGAACACCGGUGGCGAAGGCGACUUCCUGGACCAAUACUGACGCUGAGGUGCGAAGGCGUGGGUAGCAAACAGGAUUAGAUACCCUAGUAGUC